UACGUAGGGGGCGAGCGUUGUUCGGAUUUAUUGGGCGUAAAGAGCUCGUAGGCGGCUGGGCAAGUCGGGUGUGAAAACUCCAGGCUCAACUUGGAGACGCCACUUGAUACUGCCCUGGCUUGAGUCCGGUAGGGGAGCGCGGAAUUCCUGGUGUAGCGGUGAAAUGCGCAGAGAUCAGGAGGAACACCGGUGGCGAAGGCGGCGUCCUGGACCAACACUGACACUGAGGAGCGAAAGCCAGGGGAGCAAACGGG
rnacentral:rRNA from 1 species